GACGGGUGCUGUGGCUCACGCCUGUGAUCCCAGCAGCUCGGGAGGCUGAGGCAGGAGGAUCUCGAGUUCAAAGCCAGCCUCAGCAACUUAGAGAGGCCCUGAGCAACUCAGUGAGACCCUGUCUCUA
rnacentral:sRNA from 1 species